CUAUACCAGACAGGACUGUUUUGUUUGUUCCAGUUUGGGCUAGUGUAUUAAAAGAUCAUGAACACGUACCACGCUGCACCUUGGUCCUCUCCUUCUUCCACCUACGAUAGCCGUUACAGCGAGGAUCUCCUUUCAGAGAGACUUAAGGGACUGCAACAUAAUCUGCUUUACGUAAACGUGGCUUUCUUCCUCGAUGUUGUCUAUCUAUUAGAGCUGAGUGAUCUCUCUGCUACCUCCGACACCUUGAACAAUCAGAUCCUCCUCUCUACACUAUCAGGGCUGGGCAUCUCAGGCCCUGCACUCUUUUGGAUUGCAUCCUUCCUGGCAGACCACAUCUAGAAGGUGGCGACACGCAUCUCUGCAUGCCUGAAAGAUAUCUCAGCUUGGAUGUUGGCCCACCAUCUCAUGCUAAACCUCGACAAGACGGAGCUGCUCUUCCUCCUGGGGAAGGCCUGCCCACUCAAAGAACUCUCCAUCACAGCUGACAACUCCACAAUGUCACCCUCCCAGAGUGCAAAGAACCUUGGCGUGACCCUGGGAACACUGUCAUUCUCUGCAAACAUCAAAGCAGUGACUUGCUCCUGCAGGUUCAUGCUCUACAUCAUCCGUAGAGUACGACCCUACCUCACACAGGAAGUGGUACAGGUCCUAAUCCAGGCACUUGUCAUCUGUACUACUGCAACUUGCUGUUGGCUGGGCUCCCCACUUGUGCCAUCAAACCCCUGAAACUUAUCCAGAACGCUGCAGCACGCCAGGUUUUCAACCUUCCCAAGUUCUUCCAUGUCACCCAGCUCCUCCGCGCACUCCACUGGCUUCCAGUUGAUGCUCGCAUCCACAACAAGACCAUGGUGCUUGCCUCUGGAGCAGCAAGAGGAACUGCCCCUCCCUACUUGCAGGCUAUGCUCAAACCCUACGUCCCAAUCCAAGCACUCCAUUCUGCCACAUGUGUUCUCUUGGCCCUCCCACCCCUACGGGAGGGUAGCUUCUGCUCAGCCCAGUCCAAUGGUGGAACCAGCUUGCCUCUGAAGCUAGGACAGCAGAAACCUGAAACCCUACCUCUUCAAAGUAUCUUAAAUAAUCCCCCUCCUCAACCUCGGCCCUGAAUCAACACUUGCACUUGACUCCUCCCCCUUUUCAAGCUCUGACUUUGCUGAUAGCUACUUUAUUGAGGGAAAAGUGUACUUACUAUGCCUGUGAUAUGUCCCUCCUAGCUAUCUUAAGAUGAUUGCACUAACUGUAUGCCGCUCUGGAUAACCAUUUAUUUACAUCAAAUAUUUCAGUUGUUGUGCAUAUUUCAUUUGUUUUAUUUGAUGAAUUUAUUAGUUAUUCCAAGUCAUAUCGUCUCUAUAGAGCUGCUGCCUAUGCUGUCUGACAGAAUCAGUAUUUUGUAGUUAUUCUAAGUAAAUAAGGCUUAGGUUUACUAUCAAUCACUUACAUCAUGUAUUUACAGGUUGAGAUACCUAGCGACGCAACAGCUGCUCUCUAGAUUCCCCUCACAACCAUGCAUUCUUCUGUAGCAAGCGUAAAAGAAACACUGACCGGACAGUCAUUGCAUUCAAUUUCCACAUAUUAUGCGCUAAACUAUGUAGAAUAUUGGCCUGUUGGAAACUACAACUCCCUAGUACAUCACACAGUUCAGGCUGAAUCUGAUUUAGCUCUAGAGAAACUGUGCAUUGUGCGCAUUGAGCUCCCAGUAAAAAAAGGAAAGAAAUGUAAUUCAAAUUAUUUAUCCGACUUGGGUCAAUUCAUUGUUUAAAACAGAAAAGCCCCAGAAAUGUAGGUCAAUCGCUCAGCACUAACAUCCAUCCAACCCGCUGGGUUCUCCGUCCAGUCUGUGUAUACAUCCAAUAAACAUUGAUUUUAUUUGAUAAUUGGCAUAGGUUUAUACUAGGAAAACUCACAAGGGGUUUCUUUGUUAGAUUUUUCCAGCGCUUAUAGCACUUAAUAUUCAGUGUGUGGAAACAGAACCAAACUGCUUAAAUAAACCUCCAGAAUGAAAAAAGUGGGAGUCAACAAUAACUUUCCCUCCUGUGAAGACAGCGAGCAGAGUGGAGUGCACAGAUUGAUAUUCUGACAGGAAAAUGUAGAAGUUUUGCCCUGAGCCCACGGCCAGUUUUCCAAUCUGUAAUCAAAUUCACCCCCCCCCCUCCCCCCACACACACACACACACUAUUUUCCACAUAGGUUCUCUAUCAACGGCACAUGCUCUCUCUCCAUCAGAAAUAACUCAAUGUGUUACAGUUCCUUAAGUUUAUGCCAUAUCUGAGAGACAUCGAUCCAUCUAUCUAUGCACCCAUACAGGCACAUAUUCUGCUAUUGUGCAGCACCAGCUAUACCAUUCUACCCAGGGAUUUGACCACAAACAUCAUUAAAAUGUUUUUAUUUUGCACUAAUGCUAAAUAAUACUCUCUUCCCUUUCCCUUUAUUAAAAACUGAAAUGAUAUUA